UGGCGGUUUCCACCUUGAAUUCGCUACCGGGUUCAGGCCGCAGACGCCGGAGCUGGGGAUGCUCCUGGCCCGGGGCGGGCCGAUGGGCUGCUGGAAUCCUGAUGUGGAACCUCCGACUUCCCAACGGAAGAGGAAAGGCCCAGUACCUAAAACUGAUUUAUGGACAGAAACUCCCGAAGCAUGAGAAGCGUGUGGCCUCUCCGCCCUCUCCUUGCAGGGCGGGCAGCGCUGGC
rnacentral:lncRNA from 1 species